GAUCAGAUGUUCUUUUAACCACGAUGUGUGCCCUCGUUGUGUAAUAAAAACUCAUAAUAGUGGCCCGGCCAGUGCCGAGGAGCGUCAGCAGCGAGCAAAGCACCAAUAACACUGCGUAGUUCCCGUCUGACACGAAGCAAAAGCAUCUGCUUCAAAGAGAUAAGGAUUUAUCACGUGAAAUUGAGAAGGAGGCCUUCUGAAGCACUCCCACUCACUGUUUAUGAACACCCACUGCAAUGCUUAGGGCAACAGAGGACACUUUACUGCAAAUUACAGCCGGAAGCAUGUGCAGCUUUUAUGUGGAUUUGGAAUAGUUUGGCAUCUAAAAAGUGAACAAGCUCGCAGCAAAAGAGAGAAUAUUUCCUAAUGGAAAUGUUGAAGUAAAAAGCAAAGUGGACACACACUGAGGGUGAAUACCUCCGAUCCAAGAAGGAACUGAAGGGCAAAAUGCCAACAUCUGGACGCAGAGACAAUCGAUAUGUUCAUAUAUCACCCUAUCACAUCCAUCUUAAAGGUGAUGUUUGUACAUCCUGAUCUUAACUGCAGAUAUCAGAAUAGACUACUGAUCAUAUACACAUUAUUUACAUCUCCUUGAACCCAAGUCUUGGUCCCUUUACAGCUUAUUAAAGAUAAACCCUUCCUUCAAGCGGUUCAUCAAUUUUGCACAUCAAAAUCCCUUAUUUACAUGAUGAAAGCCCUCAGCAACAGAAGUGCAAUGUUCUUCAUGUUUUGUAAUUUACACAAUGGCUUUGUAGAUGAAAUGCAUGCUGAGCUUCAAUAUAACUACCAGGCUAACAUGGAACAACAAGGACACGUCAACAUCAGGAAAAAAAAAAAAAAAAAAAAAAUCCAAAUCAAAACCGGAGAAUUCAAAAUUUAAAGGCUGAUUUUUUUUCUUUUGUUGUUUUUUUUUUUCUUCUUCCCAUCAGCUCACAGUGAAUAGGACACAUGAUGCAUCAGAUCCAUGCAGUGCAUUGUCGGGGUACUUUCUCACAAAGAAUGACUGGAGACAUUUGAAGCACUACAACACACACCGAAAAUAAACAACGGUUUCACAUCGUCCCAAGAUUUCAGAUUUGUAGCAAAGACAUGAAAUCAUUGGGAAGACACAUUCAGUUGAUCAUUAAUGUCCCGUUUGUGAUAUGUCUGUCAUUUAAACGUCCUCUUUUGAUAAUUCAAAUAAGGAGAAACAUGAGAAGGUUAGCCUGACUUGUGAUAAUGGUUUUCUUCGUGAAUGCUAAAAUACAUUUACAACCUGAAUAUUGGGACAAACAGUUUACUGUCACUAAUUUACACACUAGAAUAGACUCUUAUCUUGUAGAAUGUAGAAAGUUAUUCUUUACAUAUACCCAGUUCUUUUGUUUGUUUGCAUUUUGUAUAUUAUAACUGCAUUUCCUGAAAAAAAUGAAAGUGUUCUUUCAUAUGUGCUUAUCCAGCAAAAUAUUUCUGUUCAGGCCAAGGAGUAAGAUAUUCCUUUUAUUAAAAUAUAUACACACAUUCUUCUUUCCAUUGUGAACUGUGUAAGUAUUUAUAUAUUUUAAAUGGAAAAAAAAAAAACGUAUUUUCACCUGAAUCUCAUCCUGGACAAGAUAACAGACCUCCACUCUCAGUACAAGUCUGCAUUUUCUGAACAUGAUUGCACUUAAAACUUUGCUAUGGUAACACUGAUUUGUUAUACAAUGUGCAGAGGAUAGCCUCACAUCAAUAACAUUACAUGCAAAAAAUCACUUACUAGACAUUCCACUGAACUCCAAAGCCUGUACCUCUCAAAAGACCACGAGGACAGCCAGACAUUAAUUUACAGAGAAAAGACUCUGACAGGGGGGGC